rnacentral:rRNA from 1 species
GCGUCUUAAGCAUGCAAGUCAAACGGGAUGUAGCAAUACAUUCAGUGGCGAACGGGUGAGUAACGCGUGGAUGAUCUACCUAUGAGAUGGGGAUAACUAUUAGAAAUAGUAGCUAAUACCGAAUAAGGUCAGUUAAUUUGUUAAUUGAUGAAAGGAAGCCUUUAAAGCUUCGCUUGUAGAUGAGUCUGCGUCUUAUUAGCUAGUUGGUAGGGUAAAUGCCUACCAAGGCAAUGAUAAGUAACCGGCCUGAGAGGGUGAACGGUCACACUGGAACUGAGAUACGGUCCAGACUCCUACGGGAGGCAGCAGCUAAGAAUCUUCCGCAAUGGGCGAAAGCCUGACGGAGCGACACUGCGUGAAUGAAGAAGGUCGAAAGAUUGUAAAAUUCUUUUAUAAAUGAGGAAUAAGCUUUGUAGGAAAUGACAAAGUGAUGACGUUAAUUUAUGAAUAAGCCCCGGCUAAUUACGUGCCAGCAGCCGCGGUAAUACGUAAGGGGCGAGCGUUGUUCGGGAUUAUUGGGCGUAAAGGGUGAGUAGGCGGAUAUAUAAGUCUAUGCAUAAAAUACCACAGCUCAACUGUGGACCUAUGUUGGAAACUAUAUGUCUAGAGUCUGAUAGAGGAAGUUAGAAUUUCUGGUGUAAGGGUGGAAUCUGUUGAUAUCAGAAAGAAUACCGGAGGCGAAGGCGAACUUCUGGGUCAAGACUGACGCUGAGUCACGAAAGCGUAGGGAGCAAA